rnacentral:tRNA from 1 species
GCUGGUGUAGCUCAGUGGUAGAGCACGUGCCCAGGGUGCACAUGGCCCUGGGUUCGAUCCCCAGCACCCAGUA